rnacentral:rRNA from 1 species
GAUGAACGCUGGCGGCGUGCCUAAUACAUGCAAGUCGAGCGAACAGACGAGGAGCUUGCUCCUCUGACGUUAGCGGCGGACGGGUGAGUAACACGUGGAUAACCUACCUAUAAGACUGGGAUAACUUCGGGAAACCGGAGCUAAUACCGGAUAAUAUAUUGAACCGCAUGGUUCAAUAGUGAAAGACGGUUUUGCUGUCACUUAUAGAUGGAUCCGCGCCGCAUUAGCUAGUUGGUAAGGUAACGGCUUACCAAGGCAACGAUGCGUAGCCGACCUGAGAGGGGGAUCGGCCACACGGGAGCUGAGACGCGGUCCAGACGCCUACGGGAGGCAGCAGUAGGGAAUCUUCCGCAAUGGGCGAAAGCCUGACGGAGCAACGCCGCGUGAGUGAUGAAGGUCUUCGGAUCGUAAAACUCUGUUAUUAGGGAAGAACAAAUGUGUAAGUAACUAUGCACGGCUUGACGGUACCUAAUCAGAAAGCCACGGCUAACUACGUG